rnacentral:rRNA from 1 species
UGGGGAAUAUUGCACAAUGGGCGCAAGCCUGAUGCAGCGACGCCGCGGGAGGGAUGAAGGCCUUCGGGUUGUAGACCUCUUUCGUCAGGGAACAAGGCACUGCUUUUUUGGUGGUGUUGAGGGUACCUGGAUAAGAAGCGCCGGCUAACUACGUGCCAGCAGCCGCGGUAAUACGUAGGGCGCAAGCGUUGUCCGGAAUUAUUGGGCGUAAAGAGCUCGUAGGCGGCUGGUCGCGUCUGUCGUGAAAACUUCCGGCUCAACCGGGGGCUUGCGGUGGGUACGGGCCGGCUAGAGUGCGGUAGGGGUAACUGGAACUCCUGGUGUAGCGGUGGAAUGCGCAGAUAUCAGGAAGAACACCGAUGGCGAAGGCAGGUUACUGGGCCGUUACUGACGCUGAGGAGCGAAAGCGUGGGGAGCGAACAGGAUUAGAUACCCUGGUAGUCCACGCCGUAAACGUUGGGCACUAGGUGUGAGGCUCCUUUCCGGGGGUUUUGCGCCGUAGCUAACGCAUUAAGUGCCCCGCCUGGGGAGUACGGCCGCAAGGCU